CGGAAGCCUGAUGCAGCAACGCCGCGUGAGGGAUGACGGCCUUCGGGUUGUAAACCUCUUUUAGCAGGGAAGAAGCGAAAGUGACGGUACCUGCAGAAAAAGCGCCGGCUAACUACGUGCCAGCAGCCGCGGUAAUACGUAGGGCGCAAGCGUUAUCCGGAAUUAUUGGGCGUAAAGAGCUCGUAGGCGGUUUGUCGCGUCUGCUGUGAAAUCCGGAGGCUCAACCUCCGGCCUGCAGUGGGUACGGGCAGACUAGAGUGCGGUAGGGGAGAUUGGAAUUCCUGGUGUAGCGGUGGAAUGCGCAGAUAUCAGGAGGAACACCGAUGGCGAAGGCAGAUCUCUGGGCCGUAACUGACGCUGAGGAGCGAAAGGGUGGGGAGCAAACAGGCUUAGAUACCCUGGUAGUCCACCCCGUAAACGUUGGGAACUAGUUGUGGGGUCCAUUCCACGGAUUCCGUGACGCAGCUAACGCAUUAAGUUCCCCGCCUGGGGAGUACGGCCGCAAGGCUAAAACUCAAAGGAAUUGACGGGGACCCGCACAAGCGGCGGAGCAUGCGGAUUAAUUCGAUGCAACGCGAAGAACCUUACCAAGGCUUGACAUAUACGAGAACGGGCCAGAAAUGGUCAACUCUUUGGACACUCGUAAACAGGUGGUGCAUGGUUGUCGUCAGCUCAUGUCGUGAGAUGUUGGGUUAAGUCCCGCAACGAGCGCAACCCUCGUUCUAUGUUGCCAGCACGUAAUGGUGGGAACUCAUGGGAUACUGCCGGGGUCAACUCGGAGGAAGGUGGGGAUGACGUCAAAUCAUCAUGCCCCUUAUGUCUUGGGCUUCACGCAUGCUACAAUGGCCGGUACAAAGGGCUGCAAUACCGCGAGGUGGAGCGAAU
rnacentral:rRNA from 1 species